CCUACGGGAGGCAGCAGUGGGGAAUAUUGGACAAUGGGCGAAAGCCUGAUCCAGCAACGCCGCGUGAGGGAUGACGGCCUUCGGGUUGUAAACCUCUUUCAGCGGGGACGAAGCGAAAGUGACGGUACCCGCAGAAGAAGCACCGGCCAACUACGUGCCAGCAGCCGCGGUAAUACGUAGGGUGCAAGCGUUGUCCGGAAUUAUUGGGCGUAAAGGGCUCGUAGGCGGUCUGUUACGUCGGGAGUGAAAACUCAGGGCUCAACCCUGAGCGUGCUUCCGAUACGGGCAGACUAGAGGUAUGCAGGGGAGAACGGAAUUCCUGGUGUAGCGGUGGAAUGCGCAGAUAUCAGGAGGAACACCGGUGGCGAAGGCGGUUCUCUGGGCAUUACCUGACGCUGAGGAGCGAAAGCAUGGGGAGCGAACAGGAUUAGAUACCCUGGUAGUCCAUGCCGUAAACGUUGGCGCUAGGUGUGGGGACCUUCCACGGUCUCCGUGCCGCAGCUAACGCAUUAAGCGCCCGCCUGGGGAGUCGGCCGCAAGGCUAAAACUCAAAUGAAUUGACGGCUGAGACGNGCGAGCGACACGAGGAGAG
rnacentral:rRNA from 1 species